rnacentral:rRNA from 1 species
AUUGAACGCUGGCGGUAUGCUUAACACAUGCAAGUCGAACGAGUGGCGGACGGGUGAGUUAUGCAUGGGAAUCGACCAUUGAGUCGAGGAUAACUACGAGAAAGGGUGGCAAACACUGGAUGGUAAGAGAUGAGCAUAUGUGGGAUUAGCUAGUUGGUGGGGUAAUGGCUCACCAAGGCCACGAUCUCUAGCUGGUUUGAGGGGAUGAUCAGCCACACUGGGACUGGGACACGGCCCGGACUCCUACGGGAGGCAGCAGUGGGGAAUAUUGCACAAUGGGCGCAAGCCUGAUGCAGCCAUGCCGCGUGUAUGAAGAAGGCCUUAGGGUUGUAAAGUACUUCAGCGAGGAGGACGUUACCCACAGAAGAAGCACCGGCUAACUCCGUGCCAGCAGCCGCGGUAAUUC